ensembl:snRNA U6 U6 spliceosomal RNA
AUACUCGCUUCGGCAAGCACAUACACUAAAAUUGGAACGACAUAGAAAAGAUUGGUUAGCAUGGCCCCUACGCAAAGAUGACUUGCAAAUUCGCUAAGUGUUCCAUAUUAAA